rnacentral:lncRNA from 1 species
GCAACAGGCUGGCUGGUGACAAGGGGGCGAAGAGAGCAGGGAAAGACGUGGAGCGGGGUCAGCAGCAAGAGAAGAGAGGCCGAGCUGCUCGCCUGUCGCCUCUGGAGGAGACUCUGAGGCUGAAGACCAGACUCUGACAGAGAUCAAGAGGACAGCCAUGUUUUCAACCAAGCCAGAGAUCCAGCCGUAAAAGACAAGAGGCGGUCGCCCCCCUCGGCCAGAUCCCCCUCAGCUCCACCACGCAACCCUCACCACAGCAGCUCCACAGACGAACAGGAGAGCCCCGAGAGAGUGGUGCAGAAGGAGAAGCUCCAUGCCGAGCUGAAGCAGGUGUUGAGUCAGAAGAGAAGUCAUCUGAGAGAGUCGACCU